CGAAGGCUCCAAAGGAAGUCACGGCUAACUCUGUGCCAGCAGCCGCGGUAAUACGGAGGUGGCAAGCGUUGUUCGGAAUUAUUGGGCGUAAAGAGCACGUAGGUGGGUUUGUAAGUCAGAUGUGAAAGCCUUCUGUUCAACGGAAGAAUUGCAUCUGAAACUGCAAGUCUUGAGUGUAGGAGGGGAGAAUGGAACUUCUGGUGGAGCGGUGAAAUGCGUAGAUAUCAGAAGGAACGCCGGCGGCGAAAGCGUUUCUCUGGCCUAUUACUGACACUCAGUGUGCGAAAGCUAGGGGAGCAAACGGGAUUAGAUACCCCGGUAGUCCUAGCCGUAAA
rnacentral:rRNA from 1 species